AACGAACGCUGGCGGCAUGCCUAACACAUGCAAGUCGAACGAGAUCUUCGGGUCUAGUGGCGCACGGGUGCGUAACGCGUGGGAAUCCGCCCUUUGGUUCGGAAUAACAGUUGGAAACGACUGCUAAUACCGGAUGAUGACGAAAGUCCAAAGAUUUAUCGCCAGAGGAUGAGCCCGCGUAGGAUUAGCUAGGUGGUGUGGUAAAGGCGCACCAAGGCGACGAUCCUUAGCGGGUCUGAGAGGAUGAUCAGCCACACUGGGACUGGGACACGGCCCAGACUCCUACGGGAGGAAGCAGUGGGGAAUAUUGGCCAAUGGGCGAAAGCCUGAUCCAGCAAUGCCGCGUGAGUGAUGAAGGCCUUAGGGUUGUAAAGCUCUUUUACCCGGGAUGAUAAUGACAGUACCGGGAGAAUAAGCUCCGGCUAACUCCGUGCCAGCCGCCGCCGUAA
rnacentral:rRNA from 1 species